CCUACGGGAGGCAGCAGUGAGGAAUAUUGGUCAAUGGACGAGAGUCUGAACCAGCCAAGUAGCGUGAAGGAUGACUGCCCUAUGGUUUGUAAACUUCUUUUAUAUGGGAGUAAACUGUUCCACGUGUGGGAUUUUGUAUGUACCAUAUGAAUAAGGAUCGGCGAACUCCGUUCCAGCAGCCGCGGUAAUACGGAGGGUGCGAGCGUUAACUGGAAUUACUGGGCGUAAAGCGCUCGUAGGCGGUUUGUUAAGUUAAGGGUGAAAUCCCCGGGCUCAACGUGGGAGCUACCUUUGAAACUGGCAAACUGGAGUGUGUGAGAGGUUAGUGGAAUUCCAGGUGUAGGGGUGAAAUCCGUAGAUAUCUGGAGGAACAUCAGGGGCGAAGGCGACUAUCUGGCACAUAACUGACGCUGAGGAGCGAAAGCGUGGGUAGCAAACAGGAUUAGAUACCCGUGUAGUC
rnacentral:rRNA from 1 species